UACGUAGGGGGCAAGCGUUGUCCGGAAUUAUUGGGCGUAAAGAGCGCGUAGGCGGUCCGAUAAGUCUGCUGUGAAAGUCCAGGGCUCAACCCUGGAAGGCCGGUGGAAACUGUCGGGCUAGAGUCCGGAAGAGGCGAGUGGAAUUCCCGGUGUAGCGGUGAAAUGCGUAGAUAUCAGGAGGAACACCGAUGGCGAAGGCAGGUCUCUGGGCUGACACUGACGCUCAUGCACGAAAGCGUGGGGAGCAAACAGG
rnacentral:rRNA from 1 species